rnacentral:rRNA from 1 species
AGCAGCCGCGGUAAUUCCAGCUCCAAUAGCGUAUAUUAAAGUUGUUGCAGUUAAAAAGCUCGUAGUUGAAUUUCGGGAUCAAAUUGUUGGUCGUGCUUCGGUACGCACUGGCAUUAUUGGUUCCUACCUUCUGAAGAACCGCGAUGUCAUUAAUUUGGUGUCGUGGGGAAUCAGGACUGUUACUUUGAAAAAAUUAGAGUGUUUAAAGCAGGCGUACGCUUGAAUACAUUAGCAUGGAAUAAUGAAAUAGGACGUUUGAUUCUAUUUUGUUGGUUUCUAGGAUCGACGUAAUGAUUAAUAGGGAUAGUUGGGGGCAUUAGUAUUCAAUUGUCAGAGGUGAAAUUCUUGGAUUUAUUGAAGACUAACUACUGCGAAAGCAUUUGCCAAGGAUGUUUUCAUUAAUCAAGAACGAAAGUUAGGGGAUCGAAGACGAUCAGAUACCGUCGUAGUCUUAACCAUAAACUAUGCCGACUAGGGAUCGGAUGAUGUUAAUUUUUUAAUGACUC